rnacentral:rRNA from 1 species
GACGUAGGAUGCAAGCGUUGUCCGGAUUUAUUGGGCGUAAAGAGUUCGUAGGUGGUUUGUUAAGUCUGAUGUUAAAGACUGGGGCUCAACCUCGGGACUGCAUUGGAUACUGGCAGACUUGAGUGCGGUAGAGGCAAGUGGAAUUCCAGGUGUAGCGGUGAAAUGCGUAGAUAUCUGGAAGAACACCGGUGGCGCAAGCGACUUGCUGGGCCGUAACUGACACUGAGGAACGAAAGCUAGGGGAGCGAAUGGGAU